rnacentral:rRNA from 1 species
AUUGAACGCUGGCGGCAGGCCUAACACAUGCAAGUCGAACGGUAACAGGAAGAAGCUUGCUUCUUUGCUGACGAGUGGCGGACGGGUGAGUAAUGUCUGGGAAACUGCCUGAUGGAGGGGGAUAACUACUGGAAACGGUAGCUAAUACCGCAUAACGUCGCAAGACCAAAGAGGGGGACCUUCGGGCCUCUUGCCAUCGGAUGUGCCCAGAUGGGAUUAGCUUGUUGGUGGGUUAACGGCUCACCAAGGCGACGAUCCCUAGCUGGUCUGAGAGGAUGACCAGCCACACUGGAACUGAGACACGGUCCAGACUCCUACGGGAGGCAGCAGUGGGGAAUAUUGCACAAUGGGCGCAAGCCUGAUGCAGCCAUGCCGCGUGUAUGAAGAAGGCCUUCGGGUUGUAAAGUACUUUCAGCGGGGAGGAAGGGAGUAAAGUUAAUACCUUUGCUCAUUGACGUUACCCGCAGAAGAAGCACCGGCUAACUCCGUG